CCUACGGGAGGCAGCAGUGGGGAAUAUUGCACAAUGGGCGAGAGCCUGAUGCAGCAACGCCGCGUGAGUGAAGAAGGUCUUCGGAUUGUAAAGCUCUGUCUUUUGGGACGAACAAUGACGGUACCAAAAGAGGAAGCCACGGCUAACUACGUGCCAGCAGCCGCGGUAAU
rnacentral:rRNA from 1 species